rnacentral:rRNA from 1 species
CCUACGGGUGACAGCAGUGAGGAAUAUUGGUCAAUGGACGAGAGUCUGAACCAGCCAAGUAGCGUGAAGGAUGACUGCCCUAUGGGUUGUAAACUUCUUUUAUAUGGGAAUAAAAUGUUCCACGUGUGGGAUUUUGUAUGUACCAUAUGAAUAAGGAUCGGCUAACUCCGUGCCAGCAGCCGCGGUAAUACGGAGGAUCCGAGCGUUAUCAGGAUUUAUUGGGUUUAAAGGGAGCGUAGGUGGAUUGUUAAGUCAGUUGUGAAAGUUUGCGGCUCAAACGUAAAAUUGCAGUUGAAACUGGCAGUCUUGAGUACAGUAGAGGUGGGCGGAAUUCGUGGUGUAGCGGUGAAAUGCUUAGAUAUCACGAAGAACUCCGAUUGCGAAGGCAGUUCACUGGACUGCAACUGACACUGAGGCUCGAAAGUGUGGGUAUCAAACAGGAUUAGAUACCCUUGUAGUC